rnacentral:rRNA from 1 species
UACAGAGGGGGCUAGCGUUGUUCGGAAUUACUGGGCGUAAAGGGCGCGUAGGUGGCCUGUUAAGUCGAACGUGAAAUCCCCGGGCUCAAUCCGGGAACUGCGUCCGAGACUGGCAGGCUCGAAUCCGGGAGAGGGAUGUGGAAUUCCAGGUGUAGCGGUGAAAUGCGUAGAUAUCUGGAGGAACACCGGUGGCGAAGGCGGCAUCCUGGACCGGUAUUGACGCUGAGGCGCGAAAGCCAGGGGAGCAAACGGG